rnacentral:rRNA from 1 species
GACGAACGCUGGCGGCGUGCUUAACACAUGCAAGUCGAACGAUGAAGCCCAGCUUGCUGGGUGGAUUAGUGGCGAACGGGUGAGUAACACGUGGGUGAUCUGCCCUGCACUCUGGGAUAAGCCUGGGAAACUGGGUCUAAUACCGGAUAUGACCUCGGGAUGCAUGUCCUGGGGUGGAAAGUUUUUCGGUGCAGGAUGAGCCCGCGGCCUAUCAGCUUGUUGGUGGGGUAAUGGCCUACCAAGGCGACGACGGGUAGCCGGCCUGAGAGGGCGACCGGCCACACUGGGACUGAGACACGGCCCAGACUCCUACGGGAGGCAGCAGUGGGGAAUAUUGCACAAUGGGCGCAAGCCUGAUGCAGCGACGCCGCGUGAGGGAUGACGGCCUUCGGGUUGUAAACCUCUUUCAGCAGGGACGAAGCGCAAGUGACGGUACCUGCAGAAGAAGCACCGGCCAACUACGUGCCAGCCGCCGCCGUAAGAC